GCCCGGGUGGUGGAACCGGUAGACACGAGGGACUUAAAAUCCCUUGGCCCGCAAGGGCCGUGCGGGUUCAAGUCCCGCCCCGGGCA
rnacentral:tRNA from 1 species